rnacentral:lncRNA from 1 species
GAAAGUUAAGAAAGGGCUAAGAAAUGAUUUGGGUUAUCAGAGAACAUAAGAUACAAAUCUGUAGAAAGACUGAUAUUUUCCAAAUGAAAUGCCAAUAAAAGGCUAAAACAGUCUCGAACAUUUUAUUUAAAAAGUCAUUAUUACCGAUUGACAAGUUUUUGCUUUAAUGUCAGAAAAGUCACAACACAAUUUGAUAAACGUCGUUAAAAGCCAGUUUUCUAGACAUGAGUUCCACAGUGCUAUCCAUACGACAUUUGCUCAGAAGUGAUGCCAAAAUUCUUAGAACACGGCAUGUUGGGGUGGAGGAAGAGAGGCGCCUGCCAACGCUGACACAGCUGAUUCGCAGGAGAGGCUAGAAAGGAGACAGGAACAGAGGCAAGAGCUCCCUGUUCCAAGUGGCACAGACAGAAAAGCACAGCCGAGCUGGGCACGACGCGGGAGGAACCAGGCCCCUGUGGCUCAGGAGUUUGGUUUUGAAAGACUUCGACGUCCAGCAAGAUGGCUGGUUUGAGUCAAGCCUUUCUUCCUGAACUUGUGACCUCUCACCUGAGGUACCUGGCAUACUUAAGGGAAACGGUGAAUACAUUCUGAUUGAGUUGUGCUGGACACUGAACUAGAAAACCAGCUAAGGACUGAGAGCAGCACAGGCAUCCAGUCACAUUUCCUGUAAAGAAUCGAACACACAAACAUGCUUUGCUUACGGAGGAAGCAGGAAAGGAGCUGGAGUUGAAGCUCUUUAAAAGAGAUAAAGAGCAGGGGAGGGGCGAGAAGGCAGGAGGGCAGAAGAAGCCUCUAAGAGCUGAGGGAUUCGUGCACGAACAGGAAAUACAGGUCCUGUCCAGCUGACGGUUCCGCUUUAGGGGAGGGCGAUCCUCAGGCCUUUGCUCCGGCUGAUUUUCCCCAAGUGCUAGACACACAGCAUCUGUGCCCGAGCACAGCUCCCCAAAGUGACCUGCACCCCUCCAGGCCAAGACAAGCUCAGGGAGUCGUCACACUGCUCAGAGACGUCUGGGCCAGCACCGGGAAGGGUACCCUUGUAUUUAUGGCUCCUACGCUUUUCCAAUAGAAUACAUUUGCCCAAAUAAAGAGAACGGGGUCCUGAGCUCUCCUAGCCUCGUACGUGCAAUCCCCACCACCGAAAGCAGGGUCCAUCUGUGCCCAGGACAGGGGAGGCAGGGGCUGUUCUGUAAGGCGGAGAGGCCCACAGCAAAAUCAGCGGCCCCAGUUAAGGGACAGCCUGACAUAGCCCACCAUCACCAGUAGGAAUGUCAUUUGGAAUACUUCUGGCAGAUGCCAGACGGUCACCCAACCGCAGGCUAUUUCAAACAUACUUUCUCAGGACAUAAGGUCACUUCGCUGCAUUUAACCUCUCACGGUUAGUGUUUGGUUUGAAACAGAACUGCACACAGUACUUUUUCCUCUCGGGGACUCCAACUUAGAGGAGUGUCUGCGCUCUGGCUCGCCUCCAAGCUCCUACCAAGACAAAGUUAGGUUGCAAAGGUGGUCUUAAUGGGCUGUCAUUGACUUAAUUCUUUACUAUUUAGGGCGAUUGUUAAAUGUACGGUGUUUUCUGGGAAUCCUUCUCUGAAAGGGGAAUGCAUAUGUGGAUAAAACAUGAGGCAGUUAAGAUACUUUUGGAUCUGGCUGAAAGGAGACUACUCACUUCAAAACUGGUACUGUUAAUGCCAACGUGCUGGGGCACAGAACAUCCUCAGACACGGCAACGACUACACUUUACAGAGUGCAGAGAUGACAUCCAAAGGACAGGAGGUAACUUUUUUGCCAAAGUGGACCGAACCCUGAGGACGGGGACUAUAUUCUACCAGCCGAUCAAGACGUCUCUCUGCGGCCUCCCCACUGGACCACAUCACCUGCACACGUGUUCACGUGGGGAAACAAGAAGGGGCCAUCUGAUGUCACUGCUGAUGUCUCUACGUGCAGCUCCCUCAAGUAAGAGGAGACUGUGCCUCGCCCAAUACCCCUAGUUGUAUCUAGGAAUGUAUUUGCGUUAAAGACAGAGGUGAAGUCAGCAUGAGAGUAUCUUUAACAACCAAAGAAAUCAACCUAGAUCAGAAUACGUGGCAUGAUGACCGUUCUCUAGUCUGCAGCGCCUACGACCUGAGCUUGUAAUAGGCAAAGGCAUAUUCAUUAAAGACAUUCUUGAAAAAUGUGCACCCUCACUAAAUAACUAGAUAUCACUAAAGAGGGAAAGCCUCGUGCUUCCCUUGAUAAAACGCUGAUGAGGACCAGAAGGAAGAAGAUCCUGCCUGGCAGACUGAAAAGCCUCCACGCCCAGAAUGAGCACAUUCUCUAGGGAGGCAAUGCCACACCUCGGGUGUCAGGACAGCUCUCAACUCAAGAGGGAGGCAGAAGGACCAAGUCAGAGGGAACAGGGAGAGAAGUCUAGCCCCUCCCCCCAUAAUCACAAUACCUCAUUAGGCGACAAGGUUUUCUAGCUGGAAGGCACACACAAUAUAAACAGAAUAGUAACUUAACGAAGCAGAAAAUGAAAGGAAAAAACCUCCUUUGGGUGUAAAGUAGCAUGCGGGUAACAACAGUUGGACCUGAAACACAACUGCUAACACAGGGACUGGGUCAACAGGAAAGGAAGACUUGAUGCUUUUGGUUUAGUUUCAACGAUUCUUCAGUACUUAGUAAAGCUAAUGGAGACCCCGAAUCCUCGGAGACAGUAUUGGAAUUGCGGAGAGUUACAUAAAUAUUUACUGCUGGUAUAUCCCACAGGUUAGACCAAGUUCACUGCUCCAGCUCAGUGGAGUCUUCCUUGCUUUGUCCGCCACCAGGCAGGGCUAUAAAGUCAACUAAACAGAAAAGAUGAAAGGAGCAGGUAUAGACUUCUCGCUUCUUUGCCCUGGUUAUAUGUCCAUAAUAUACAUAAAAAUAAAUAAUAUGUAUUAAAAAUCAGCAUUAAAAUCUGAAACAAGGAAUUCCCAGGGUGGCGCAGCAGUAACAAACCUGACUAGUAUCCAUGAGGACGAGGGUUCGAUCCCUGGCCUUGACCAGUGGAUUAAGGACCCAGUAUUGCCAUGAGCUGUGGUGUAGGUCUCAGAUGCGGCUCGGAUCUGGCAUUCCUGUGGCUGCGGUGUAGGCCGGCAG